rnacentral:rRNA from 1 species
GACGAACGCUGGCGGCGUGCCUAAUACAUGCAAGUUGAGCGCUGAAGGUUGGUACUUGUACCAACUGGAUGAGCAGCGAACGGGUGAGUAACGCGUGGGGAAUCUGCCUUUGAGCGGGGGACAACAUUUGGAAACGAAUGCUAAUACCGCAUAAAAACUUUAAACACAAGUUUUAAGUUUGAAAGAUGCAAUUACAUCACUCAAAGAUGAUCCCGCGUUGUAUUAGCUAGUUGGUGAGGUAAAGGCUCACCAAGGCGAUGAUACAUAGCCGACCUGAGAGGGUGAUCGGCCACAUUGGGACUGAGACACGGCCCAAACUCCUACGGGAGGCAGCAGUAGGGAAUCUUCGGCAAUGGACGAAAGUCUGACCGAGCAACGCCGCGGGAGUGAAGAAGGUUUUCGGAUCGUAAAACUCUGUUGGUAGAGAAGAACGUUGGUGAGAGUGGAAAGCUCAUCAAGUGACGGUAACUACCCAGAAAGGGACGGCUAACUACGUG